GAUAGUGCCCACUGUAUGGCCCAUAUUGCAAGAGGGCGCAUGUAGCACAACGAUCGGUAUUCAUCGUCAUUGUUCCAAGCUUCAGGGGUUUGAAAUGAGUACCUGAACAUUCAAUUUACCAGGCAGCAUGAUAAAUCCCCUCAGCUGUUUUGAACCCCUUCUCAACCAUGCCUUCUUGAAUCAUGGUUGCAGCAAGUGCAUAUGUCACACCUGGCCAUAUCUCCCGAGAUUGCAUUGCGGACAUGUCCACUGUGCCAUCUGGCCACAUCCCAUUCAUUGCUCCCCUUUUACCAUCCUUGAAUUUCAUCACAUUGAAAGAAUAUAUCUUUUCUAGUGCACUUUCCGCCUUAUCCUUGACAGAGUUAACAGAUUUGUGAUGUAUACCAUUGUCCAGCCAAUUGAUCCGCAUGGAUGGAUGCACUCAUUAUGUUGUCGCCAUCAUCAUAAUUGAAGUAAGAACCAUUCCACAACUUGCCAUAAACAGACUUAGCCUUCUCAUACUUGUCCCAGAAAAGUUUUUCAGACGCUUUGUCACCAACUUCGUGUGCCAAGGCUGACGCAGCUUGAAGAGCGGCCACCCAAAGUCCACCACAGUACGCACUUAUACCAGCCAUUGACCACACAUCAUAAGUCUGAUCUGGAAAGUCCUCAUUUUCAAUCAUCCCAUCUUUAUCCCUGUCAAAUUGCUCCAUAUAUGCCAUUGCCAUAUAAACAGAUGGCCAAACAGCACGAGCAAAGGAUUUGUCACCUGUGGCAACCACAUCUCUAUAAACUUGCAGAACAAACUUUGGGUUCAAGUCCUUCCAUCGAUCUGUGUUAUAGAGCGUAUAUGCAUUAACUUUGAACCAGGGGUCAUAUAGCCCAAGAUCAUGAGGAACAGCACCAAGAACUUUUCUCGCAACCCAUUUUCCAUCAUGUAACAUCCUGAGCUUUUCAGGAUCAUGCAUCAAAACAGCAGCAGCGAAAUCUCUCUGAAUGCUGAGCUGGAGUUUUGGAAACAGCAUGAUCAGAGAGAAUGAUGCAUAGAAAUGAACAUCAUAUGUGUUCCACAUAUAAUACUCAAUGCCCUCAAGGUAGAGGAAUUGGCCAAUAUUCUCUUCACCCUGAAGUAAAGUUGUUCCUAUGGCAGAAUUUGAUUCCAUAGAUGCAUGAAUUCUCUCGAGUACUGAUGCCAUUUGAUUAAGGAUGUCGCUGGCAGUAUUAUUCCUACCAGUCCAUAUAGUUCCUCCAGCAUUAAGGUAGUAUAACUCAUUGAAAAGUGUGACCGGGUACCUUCAGGAAACCUCUCAUCUUGCAAAAUAGGAUUCUGCCACUCCUCAAUUUGCCUUUCCCAA
rnacentral:sRNA from 1 species